CAGCACCUCAAGUGGUCAGGAUGAUUAUUGGGCCUAAAGCAUCCGUAGCCGGCGCUGUAAGUUUUCGGUUAAAUCUGUACGCUCAACGUACAGGCUGCCGCGAAUACUGCAGCGCUAGGGAGUGGGAGAGGUAGACGGUACUCGGUAGGAAGGGGUAAAAUCCUUUGAUCUAUUGAUGACCACCUGUGGCGAAGGCGGUCUACCAGAACACGUCCGACGGUGAGGGAUGAAAGCUGGGGGAGCAAACCGGAUUAGAUACCCGAGUAGUCC
rnacentral:rRNA from 1 species